rnacentral:lncRNA from 1 species
UGGGCUUAAGAUCUAAAUUUUGUUUUGUUAAAUGCACGGAAGACAUUAAAGGAAAUAAAUACGAAGCUAGAUAUGCAUGGCGAUAUACUGAACAAAAUAAAUAUGUUCCCUGUUUCCCUCAAUGCAGAUACUGUGUUUUUUUCUCUAAAAAACAAAUAAAAAAUGGAGGCUGCCCUCCCCAAAAAAAAACAAACACGCGCACACAGAAAAGGAUAUAGGUUAUGGGUCAUUUUAGGACCAUUUUACCGAUUAACAAAUGGUUUAGCAAAGUGGGCAAAUAAUGACCUAUCAGAACUGGUUUCCGCUAUAAGUUCACAUCUUCUUAAAGUUGGGUGUAUUUUCCACACUAUUGUGCUAGCUUGCUAGAAUGUUUUUAACUUUGCACCUUACCUUACCUCUAACCAAAUCAUCCACAUGGUGUUUUUGGUUAUGUUUAUAAAUGACUUGGAUGGUUGCUUGGAACAAAUAUCUAAUCUGGUUGUAAGUUUUAAUUUUUGGUCUCUGAGGUCCAAUGUAUUUUUUAUGUUUUUUUUGUUCCAAUAAAUGCUUUCUCCUCCAGAUUCUCCAAUUGACGGACUGAUCAAGAGAGCACAAGCAGCAAUAUGUGCACCUGUUGACUGUUGAAUUAGAUAGAUCCCAUAAAAACAUAUAUGAAAAGACAGGAAAUAUUUUAAGAGUAAAUCC